GACGAACCGUGCGUACGUUGUUCGGAAUCACUGGGCUUAAAGGGCGCGUAGGCGGGCAAGCAAGUCCGGGGUGAAAGCCCCCAGCUCAACUGGGGAAGUGCCUUGGAAACUGCUUGUCUAGAGGGAGGUAGGGGCAUGUGGAACUUCGGGUGGAGCGGUGAAAUGCGUUGAUAUCCGAAGGAACGCCGGUGGCGAAAGCGACGUGCUGGAUCUCUUCUGACGCUGAGGCGCGAAAGCUAGGGUAGCGAACGGG
rnacentral:rRNA from 1 species